AUUGAACGCUGGCGGCAGGCUUAACACAUGCAAGUCGAGCGGGGGAAGGUAGCUUGCUACCGGACCUAGCGGCGGACGGGUGAGUAAUGCUUAGGAAUCUGCCUAUUAGUGGGGGACAACGUCUCGAAAGGGAUGCUAAUACCGCAUACGUCCUACGGGAGAAAGCAGGGGAUCUUCGGACCUUGCGCUAAUAGAUGAGCCUAAGUCGGAUUAGCUAGUUGGUGGGGUAAAGGCCUACCAAGGGGACGAUCUGUAGCGGGUCUGAGAGGAUGAUCCGCCAAACUGGGAAUGAGACACGGCCCAGACUCCUACGGGAGGCAGCAGUGGGGAAUAUUGGACAAUGGGGGGAAACCUGAUCCAGCCAUGCCGCGUGUGUGAAGAAGGCCUUAUGGUUGUAAAGCACUUUAAGCGAGGAGGAGGCUACUUUAGUUAAUACCUAGAGAUAGUGGACGUUACUCGCAGAAUAAGCACCGGCUAACUCUGUGCCAGCCGCCGCCGUAA
rnacentral:rRNA from 1 species